rnacentral:rRNA from 1 species
UACGUAGGGUGCGAGCGUUGUCCGGAAUUAUUGGGCGUAAAGGAUGCGUAGAUGGUGUAGUAAGUUAUCGGUGGCAAAUCGAGGCUCAACCUCGUGGAAGUCGGUAAUACUGCUAUGCUAGAGGAUAGGAGAGGUUAACGGAACUCCCUGUGGAGCGGUGAAAUGCGUAGAUAUAGGGAAGAACACCAAUCAGGCGAAGGCAGUUAACUAUUCUAUUCCUGACAUUGAGGCAUGAAAGCGUGGGGAGCAAAACGG